CCACAGAGUCAUUCAGAAGAAUAGAACCUAGUUCCCUUUUUAAGUGGUUGUUUAGAGAGAAGUUAUCUCUAAACUGUGAUGGAUUUCUUCAGUAUGAAAAGCAUGAAGGCAGCUUACCUUGGUCUCAUAACAUUUAUGUUAGGAUGUAUUGGAAUAAAGUAUGGAAUCUACAAUACCAAUCCUUUCCAUGAUUCAACCCUUUCUCUUCUCGUCACUGCUGUUAUUUCCCAUCUUAUUGCAACAACAGCUGACAUGUGCAAUCCAAACACCAUCAUUAUAUUUUAUUUGUCAGGGAUAGUUGCAUGUGAAACACUGCUGUGGAUUCUCAUUGCUGAACUUUCCUGGUUCUCUCUAGUUAACUUCCUUGUUUUACUAAUACUCAAAUUCUUGUUCUCUCACUUCCUCACUCAGCUGCUCCUUCCCUAUUUCAACUGCAUCACUCAGUUGCUCUUCGGAACACCUCCAAAUGCUUCUGACAUGCCAAAUACAGAACACCAACCGCAGGACUCCCAGGUAUUGAGGCACACCAACUACUAGUUUUACAUCUCGUGGAUUGCCAAAUACGAUUUGUCCCUUUGUUUUGGCCUCAAGUGUUCUACAUCACCCCUGAUGGAAUGAUACCAUUGCCUCCUCUGCUUAUCAGUCAUGCAUCGAUCUUGCUCUCUGCAGCUUAACAAUCGCUUCUCUUCAUCCUCAACGAUUGCAAGGAAUCGCAUGACAUCUAUUCUUUCAGUAAUGACGCCUCUUGCCCUUUCUUUAAUGACGCCUAUGUGUUAGCUGAAUAAGGAAUUUUUGAUAGAGAAUUUCAGUAUUAUCCAAUUCCAUUUUACUUAACUCUGUUGUGUUACCUGAAGACACCCUUGCUUACCUCUUGUUUCUCUUUUCUUCUAUACCUAACUGCACUCGCACCUUACCAAAUGGAAAACUCCUUCGGUUGACUAAUUAAUGUAUGUUUUACUUUUCUACUCCUAUGGUGGGCUGCAUCAAAUGAGAGAAAUCCUCUUCCUGAGAGGAUUCUUGUGCUUCAUAUUAUCUCUUCUUUUUAACUAAGCUUUAAUCACUCUCGAUUUUCUUUUUCUGGAUGACCACUACUUUUUCCAUUGAAGUAUACAUCUCACAUUUCAGCAGAAGGUGCAGAACCUAAUGCAUGACAUGGAUUGAAAUGUUGUUGCUACAUGGGAACUUAAGAAAAGAAGCUGCUCCUUCCCUACUUCAACCGCAUCACUCAGUUGCUCCCUGGAACACCUCCAAAUAGUUCUGACAUGCCAAAUACAGAACAGCAACAGCAUGACUCCCAGGUAUAGUGGCACACCAACUACUAGUUUUACCCCUCUUGGAUUGUCAAAUAUGAUUUGUCCCUUUGUUUUGGCCGCAAGUGUUCUACAUCACCCUAUCAUCAGUAGGUCUUGUCUGGUUUCAUGGAAUUCUUUGAAGGACAAAGAAGGAAUGAUACCAUUGCCGCCUCUGAUUAUCAGUCGGUAACAGAGUUUCUCUCCCCCGUGCUCUUGAAAUUCUUGAAAUUGAACUUGCCAUACUUGUUGAUUUUCUUUCUCUUGUCCAGCUUCUCUUCGUCCUUGGGGAUUGCAAGGAAUCGCAUGACAUCUAUUCUUUCAGUAAUGACACAGAGGACUCUUGUCAUUUCUCCCAAUAUCCUUUCACUGCAUUUUUCUUUUCUUUAUUUAUGUUUCCUCCAUGUUUUUUCCUUUGUACUUUAAUGCUUGUUUGCUUCUCUUGGCAAUUUAAAAUGGAUACGUUAGUAGUUAAUUUUGUCAUUCAUAUUUUCUAUCAACAAUUUGUUUUUUAAUGAACACGAUGCAGUAUGGCUUCUCACGAGAAAUGAAGAGAGCAUAGUUUUUCAAGUCUUUGGCUCAUACUCAAAAGUCUGUAUAAUUUCAGGUAUUGAGGCACACCAACUACUAGUUCUACACCUGUUGGAUUGUAAAAUACGAUUUGUCCCUUUGUUUUGGCCUCAAGUGUUCUAGAUCACCGUAGGUCUAGUCUGGUUUCAUGGAAUUGUUUGAAUGACAAAGAAGGAAUGAUAGCAUUGCCGCCUCUGCUUAUCAGUCAUGCAUCCAUGUUGCUCUCUGCAGCUUAAUACUUCUCUUCGUCCUUGGAGAUUGCAAGAAUCACAUGACAUCUAUACUUUCAGUAAUGACACGGAGGACUCUUGCCAUUUCUCCCAAAUCCCAUCUUAUUGCAUCCGCAGCUGACAUGGCCAACCCAAACACCAUCAUAACAUUUUAUUUCUGCUCCUCCCUAAUUCAACUACUCCCUGGAACGCCUCCAAAUGGUUCUGAGAUUCCAAAUACUCAACUGCAACCUUAGGAUUCCCAGGUGUAUCAAAUCAGGUAUAGUCUGGUUCAUCAAUAUGUAACUUUUUAGUUGCGUUUCUGGCUUUAUGCUUAUGCUUAUAUUAUGUAGUCUUAGUUUUCUCUAUUUUUCCUGAUCAUUACGGGGUAGAUUAAUCCCCAAAUCAUCGGGUUAUUAUCUGCAAAAUAGACCAGCUUAUUUUAGUUUUAAUCUGAUUCUCUAUACAAGUUGAAUUAAUUCUGAUAACAGGGUACUGUUCAUGGACCGAGUGGGAUUUGUGGUUCUUGAUUAAUCCCCAAUUUUUGGGUUCAACAAUAUGUAGGAUUUGAGAUGUAUUUUAGGCUUUAUGCUUAUGCUCAUAUUAUAUAUGCUUUAUUUUCUCUCUAUAAAAAUGCUUUCCUUUUAUGUCAGUUGGAGUCCGAUUUAAGUCCUAAUAAUUACUACAUAGAUUAAUCCCCAAACCAUCAGGUUAUUAUCGGUAAAAUAUACCAAGCUAUUUUAUUUUUACUUUGAUUUUCUGUACAAGUUGGAGUAAUUAACACAAUACUGUUCAUGGACCACCUGGGAUAGGUAAUUCACAAUUGUAUUGUACAAUUUCUGUGUAACUCAUUGGUUGAUCAAAAUGUUGCAAAAGAUUCAAUUCAGAAAAGCCUAACUCCACUGCAAACAUGCUUUAAGCAGGAUAUAUUGGGUAAAGUUUUCUAAAUAGGGCAAUACUUACGGAUGAAUCCCAAUAACAGAAUAAAAAGCUUCCCCAUAAGAGUGCUCUUGACGAUGUUGAUGGACUUAAGACUAGUUGCUGGAUUUUGCUGUAUAGAAAAUCAAAAUAACUUAACUAAAGUGAAAAUCCUAAACCCUAAACUGAAAACAACUAAUGAAAGACCAAGGUAUAGCCGUUUUGUCUGCCGUACACCACUUUCUGCAGUAAACCAAGCGCAAACCUGGUCCUAAACUUCUGGGCCACACCUGCUCUUUUGUUUUAAAAUAAAGUGUUCUAAAUACCUACUGUAUAUCGCUGUUUGAGAUUUAUACAUGAACAUCUAAGUCUAGUCCUAAGCGACGCAAUGUAUUUCUAUCUAUAGCCUCAAUUAUAAGGUAUGAAUUCCUUUCCAGAUCUGCAAUGAACUGAACUAACUUAUUCUUCUCCUUCUUGGGUUCCAUGAAUAUGAAGAUUAUAUUUUUAAGGGAUUUAAGAGAUAGCACUGUUUUAUUUAUUUUUAUCCCCACUCUGAAAUAACUUCAUUGCAAUUUUGUCCCAAUGUAUUUGGGUUUUCCCUAGAGAGUUUGUAAAGGUGUUGGUACUGAGAUAUUUUGGGGAUUGAGUUGCGCCAUUACUUUUUUGUUUCUGUUUAUCACAUUUACUAUCAUCAUUUUGCUUCAGCAAGAAUAAAAUAUCCUACAUCUGUUUUUGAAUUCAGUGCUGCUUAGUUCUAGUCUAAGAAAUGCUUUUAGUAGAUAGUAUUGGAGAAAAACAUCGUAUAGGUCAAUAUUUACUAUGGAUCCCUAAGUGAAAACAUACACUUCUCCAUAGCAGGACUCUUUUUGUUUGUCAAUCACGAUGUUGUGGUUGAGGGCUAUAGAAGGGUACUAUCAGUGGUAGCAUAACUGAAACAAGAAAAAAUAAUAAAAAAUCUGGAACAUUGGCUGGGAUUUAGUUUACUUGUUGGCCAUAGUGCAUGAAUUGUGAUAAACUCCUUGACAUGUGAUCAAUUCCUACUGAAGAAAAAACCUGCUACGUUAGAAUAGUGCUAAAAAGAGCUAAGCUGAACAAAACAUAGGAUUCUACAAACUUGAAAACAUUUAGAAAAAUCCCAAAACCCAGUCCUAAACAACUUCUGUUGCCGUCAAAAUCUCGUCAGAUUUCCCACAAUAUAUGAAUGCAACAUAUGAGCUUUAUCUGUAAAAUCCCUUUUUAGUCCAAAGAAAUUCAAAUGUAGCUUUUGUUUAGAUGCGGAUUUCAUUAUAAGUUCUAACAAGUUUGGAGUUGUUGUGAAUGAGACAGCACUAUUUUUUUCUCUUUAUUAGAUUGCAUGAAACUUAACUUUUAUGUGUUCAGUCCCUUCGUUCAAGAAAGGAGUGUACUGAAGGCAAUAGAUUUAUCAUUAUGCCACAGUAAUAGCUUCAUUGAUAUGGUCAGAAUUUAGUUGGGUUUUUCUUUUUCAAAUAUCAUGAUUUGCUACCAAGACAAUUUCUAUUCCAACCGAUACAUGAAUUGAGAGUCCCCGCAUGUUUUUGUCAUCCAUAUUUUCUAUGAGCAAUUUGUUUUUGAAUGAACGUGAUGCAGUAUGAAUUCUCACGAGAAAUGUAGGUAGUAUAGUUUUUCAAGUCUUUGGCUCAUACUCAACCGUAUAAUAUCAAGAGUAUACUUUCUUUAAGAGAUUACAACACCAUAUUUUUAGUGAGCUACUCCAAUACCUAUGAAGUAUUUGAGGCUUCCAACAUCUUUAGUUUGAAAAUGUUUACACAAAUAUUCCUUCAAUUAAGAUAUUUCAAACAACAUCAUUUCCUUUUAUGACUAUAUCAUUAAUUUAUAUAGUAUUAAUUAAACACAUUUCUCAAGAUAGGUGUUAGAUAUAUUAUCUAUACUUUAUACUUAUCUUUUAUCUUUAGUUUGUUAUUAUUUCCUAUUAGUAUUUUGGACUUCACCUAUAUUUCUUUUCUUAUAAAUAGAGGAUUCUAUGUGUAUAUUCAACACAAGGGAGAUUAAUCUCAUAUAUAGUUUUCACUAUAUUCAAGUUGGUAUCAGAGCAGGUUGUCUGAGUUUCUUCCUACUCUGUUAUUGGUGGUCGGUGGCCACUACCACCGCUGGCCUUAAAAAUCUCAUCUUUUCUGAAAUACCUCAAUGAGCUUGUCUUUCUCAGCCUCAAGAUCACGCUUGUAGUGCUUGACCUGACUCUUCUUUAGUAUUUUUGAUAAGUUUCUUUUAUCUCGUAUUAUUUGUCUGUCAUCGUUCGUCGCUGGCUGUCUACCAUCGUCCGUCAACCGCCAGUCACUAUCGUCGUUUGUCGUACGCUAUUAUCUACCGUUUGCCACCGGUCAUCCAUCGUCGGCCUUCGUCCGUCGACAUUCACUGCUGGCCGCCGCCAUCUUCGUCCAUAGUUUAGUUCGGCGAUUCCAGCUGCGCUCGGAUACGUGUUUUUCAUGCGCCACCUUUUGGGCAUCAAAAUCACACCGCGCCGCGCCAGACCUCCAUCUCACUAUAUUCACCACAAGCUUCCGCCUCGAGUCGAUGACGAUCCAGCUCAGCCGCGGGGAGGAGAGGAACCAACCCUUGUGGGUUUCGCCUCACGUUUUCACUUCGUCACAUUCCCUUUUCGUUCUCCGGUGAGGGAACUAAUAAAUGUUAAAAAUACUUGAUUUUACACUUAUAAAGGAGCUCAAAGUUGUAAUUAUUCAUGUAUUUACUCAUUGAAAAGUUGUAAUUAGAAGUAGGAAAGUGUGUAGUAAAUUGUACAGGAAUUUAUACAUCAAAGUGGAGUGUUGUCAAACAUUUUUCGCUAAGAUAGAAUAAUUUGCACAAAUAAUUAAUAUUUUAU